rnacentral:rRNA from 1 species
GCUGCGCUACUUGCGCGGCUCCAACCAAUACACAGUGUGUUAUACUUCUCUUGCUUUGGCUCUGCCAAAGGUUUUUAAACACAGAAAUUUAUUUUCUCUAGAAACUAGUCAAUUUGAAUUUUAAUCUUCAAAACUUUCAACAACGGAUCUCUUGGUUCUCGCAACGAUGAAGAACGCAGCGAAAUGCGAUACGUAAUGUGAAUUGCAGGUUUUCGUGAAUCAUCGAAUCUUUGAACGCAUAUUGCGCUCUCUGGCAUUCCAGAGAGCAUGCCUGUUUGAGCGUCAUUUCUCUCUCAAGAUCCUCUAGGGGACUUGGUAUUGAGUGAUACUCUGUGUUAACUUGAAAUACUCUAGGCAGAGCUCCCCCUAGAAAUCCUCUGGGCCGAAAUAAUGUAUUAGGUUCUACCAACUCGUUAUUUUCCAGACAGACUUCCAGGCAGAGCUCGGCUGAACAACCUUUCUAAGCUUGACCUCAAAUCAGGUAGGACUACCCGCUGAACUUAAGCAUAUCAU